rnacentral:lncRNA from 1 species
AGCUUCCUUCUUCCCACUUGAUCAGGAUAUAAGAGCUUCGGUCCACAAGGACAGUGUUCAGGAAUCAGAUCCAAGGAGAGAAAGACAACUUCAUGUAUCAGAUUGAAGUGGAUAUGUCCUUGUAAGAAAUGACAUGUUUAGAGGGUAGGCCCUUCCCUGAGAACUUCUUCACCAUGUCCUGUGCUCAGAGAGGAUCAUCUGUUUGUCUUCAUCUGGAAGACAGGGCAAGAGAGUGAGUAGAUGUAGUCAAUGAGAGGCACCAGCAGCUGAUGGAGGGAAAAGUGAAGGGAGGUCAGUUGCCUUCUCCCCUAGCCAGGGGCCACUUCCCUUUAUGACUUCGGCUUCCAUGAUAACAGCUCAGUCAGGCCCAGGAGCACUGGUUACUUCUCCUGUUCUCUCAGCUCUGAGAGGGACUUGGUGGUCAUGAAGUCCUGAGAGAGCAGAGGGACACUUCUCUUAUUGGUUCCCUCAACCCUGCCCAUACCUAUGGGUAAUCAGAGAUGGAUUCAGUCUCCAGUUAGGAUCCUCAUCAAGUCAGAAGAAGAUUAUUCCAGCCCAAGAAACUUCUGUGGUCUAAAGGGUACACUAACAGGACUACUGGGGAGCUGUGGUCUUUAUGGGGAGUGAAGAUCAUUUUGUUGGUUGCUCUUUGGGUGUUCAGCAAUGAGAAGAAUCAGACUUUUCAAAGGCUGGCCAGCAGAAGCUUGGCAAAGGCUCUUUAGGAUUUCAUGCUGCUGCCUGAGGGUGGAGGACAUUGCUGAUUAGUGUCAGAGCUAGCUCCCCACAAAAAGGAUACCAAG